CCUACGGGAGGCAGCAGUGAGGAAUAUUGGUCAAUGGGCGGGAGCCUGAACCAGCCAAGUCGCGUGAGGGAAGACGGUCCUAUGGAUUGUAAACCUCUUUAGGCGGGGAGCAAUGCCGGGCACGCGUGCCCGGAGGGAGAGUACCCGCAGAAUAAGCAUCGGCUAACUCCGUGCCAGCAGCCGCGGUAAUACGGAGGAUGCGAGCGUUAUCCGGAAUUACUGGGUGUAAAGGGAGCGCAGGCGGGAAGCCAAGUCAGCUGUGAAAACUACGGGCUUAACUUGUAGACUGCAGUUGAAACUGGUUU
rnacentral:rRNA from 1 species